GACCCUGCAACAGCUCCAACAAGCGCCGCCCAUCACACAGGUCUGAGAAGAGAUCCUCCACAGGCGGUUUCCCUGUCUGGAAAACAGGUCAUGAGGAGCUAGAGCUGCAGCUGAGCUGACUUGAAUGCAGACUCCACCUUGACCUGGUCACAACUCCAUCACAGUGAAUAUACAGAGUGUACCCAAUGAAACGAUUGAAAAUGGAACGGCGGCUGUGUCGAUCCUUGACUCUUUUCAGCGGUAUAAUGAUUCAUUACAAUUAGUCGAGUUCAAGGUCGACCCCGCCUCUUGCUUGAUGACGGCCGGGACAGCACUCACAUGACCCUCGUGAGGAUAAGUGGAGAGAAGAACAAAAUACAGGACACAAUCAGAAUCAGAUUUUGAAUCCAAAAUGUUGCAACCUCGUCACGGUGGUGAGAGAGUUUGGAACUAAUUACUUACUUACUUACUUACUCACUCUCACACACACACACACACUCUCACACACACACACUCUCACACACACACACACACACACACACACACACACACACACACACACACACACUUCCAUUUUCUGAAACUGGAGAUACCAGUUCGCAGAACAGACAGGGGGAAGGACGGGAAAUGAACAAAGCAGCAUUACUGAUGAGUGGUGCGGUGGUAUGCUUUUAAAGUGCCUAAACACCUAUUAAAACUUGUGAAUUGAUAAUACAAAUUGUGUUACUAUUAGUGAUCCCAGCACAAGCCAUUAAAGCUGACAGCGUGUCUACGGAACUUAUUAUUGACACAUGGAUGUUACUCAGUUGAUGUACAGAGUUGCUGUUGCAGCACAAGGUGGGUCCAAACCAGUGAGGCCAUCCCAUGGGAGACCCACCCAGGGAGUUGCCACCCACUCCUCAGGAGCCAGGGGAGUCCCCCACCGUAACCGAGGCAUCCGGAUGAGUCCCAAAAUGAAGGACCAGGCGACAGGACCACGAGCACCCAUUGGGUAGCCUCCCCCAAAACCCCAUCCACCCAGAGAUGCUGCCACCCCUGGAGAGGAUGGGGACCCCACGCAUCAAAAGGGCCCACUGCAGAAGCUACCCACCACCCAAAAAGAUCUCCAAAAGUGAACACAUGUCAAUUGCCUGCUACAAGCUGUGAUUGGC